rnacentral:rRNA from 2 species
AGGCUUUGAAGCGUGGACGCCAGUCUGCGUGGAGCCGACCUUGAAAUACCACCCUUUAAUGUUUGAUGUUCUAACGUGGAUCCGUAAUCCGGGUUGCGGACAGUGUCUGGUGGGUAGUUUGACUGGGGCGGUCUCCUCCUAAAGAGUAACGGAGGAGCACGAAGGUUGGCUAAUCCUGGUCGGACAUCAGGAGGUUAGUGCAAUGGCAUAAGCCAGCUUGACUGCGAGCGUGACGGCGCGAGCAGGUGCGAAAGCAGGUCAUAGUGAUCCGGUGGUUCUGAAUGGAAGGGCCAUCGCUCAACGGAUAAAAGGUACUCCGGGGAUAACAGGCUGAUACCGCCCAAGAGUUCAUAUCGACGGCGGUGUUUGGCACCUCGAUGUCGGCUCAUCACAUCCUGGGGCUGAAGUAGGUCCCAAGGGUAUGGCUGUUCGCCAUUUAAAGUGGUACGCGAGCUGGGUUUAGAACGUCGUGAGACAGUUCGGUCCCUAUCUGCCGUGGGCGCUGGAGAACUGAGGGGGGCUGCUCCUAGUACGAGAGGACCGGAGUGGACGCAUCACUGGUGUUCGGGUUGUCAUGCCAAUGGCACUGCCCGGUAGCUAAAUGCGGAAGAGAUAAGUGCUGAAAGCAUCUAAGCACGAAACUUGCCCCGA